GAUGAACGCUGGCGGCGUGCCUAAUACAUGCAAGUCGAGCGAACAGACGAGGAGCUUGCUCCUCUGACGUUAGCGGCGGACGGGUGAGUAACACGUGGAUAACCUACCUAUAAGACUGGGAUAACUUCGGGAAACCGGAGCUAAUACCGGAUAAUAUAUUGAACCGCAUGGUUCAAUAGUGAAAGACGGUUUUGCUGUCACUUAUAGAUGGAUCCGCGCCGCAUUAGCUAGUUGGUAAGGUAACGGCUUACCAAGGCAACGAUGCGUAGCCGACCUGAGAGGGUGAUCGGACACACGGGAACUGAGACACGGACCAGACUCCUACGGGAGGCAGCAGUAGGGAAUCUGCAGCAAUGGGCGAGAGCCUGACGAAGCAACGACGCGGGAGUGAUGAAGGUCUUCGGAUCGUAAAACUCUGUUAUUAGGGAAGAACAAAUGUGUAAGUAACUAUGCACGGCUUGACGGUACCUAAUCAGAAAGCCACGGCUAACUACGUG
rnacentral:rRNA from 1 species